rnacentral:rRNA from 1 species
AUUGAACGCUGGCGGCAGGCCUAACACAUGCAAGUCGAACGAGUGGCGGACGGGUGAGUAAUGUCUGGGAAACUGCCUGAUGGAGGGGGAUAACUACUGGAAACGGUAGCUAAUACCGCAUACCAUCGGAUGUGCCCAGAUGGGAUUAGCUAGUAGGUGGGGUAAAGGCUCACCUAGGCGACGAUCCCUAGCUGGUCUGAGAGGAUGACCCGCCACACUGGAACUGCAACCCGGUCCGGACUCCUACGGGAGGAAGCAGUGGAGAAUGUUGCACAUGGUGCGCAAGCCUGAUGCAGCCCUGCCGCGUGUAUGAAGAAGGCCUUCGGGUUGUAAAGUACUGUCAGCGGGGAGGCGUUACCCGCAGAAGAAGGACCGGCUAACUCCGUGCCAGCAGCCGCGGUAAUUC